UCCGUAGGUGAACCUGCGGAAGGAUCAUUAGUGAAUAACAUGUCAAAGUCUCUGUUUCGGCAAGGCUUUGACAAUCACAUCCAUAACACCUGUGAACUGUAAGAUGCUUAGUGUUUCGGCACGGCAUCUGCCCUUUAUAAACAAUUAAUGUAACAAAUGUAGUCUUAUUAUAAUCAAUAAAACUUUCAACAACGGAUCUCUUGGCUCUCGCAUCGAUGAAGAACGCAGCGAAAUGCGAUAAGUAAUGUGAAUUGCAGAAUUCAGUGAAUCAUCGAAUCUUUGAACGCACCUUGCGCUCCUUGGUAUUCCGAGGAGCAUGCCUGUUUGAGUGUCAUGAAAAUAUCAACCAAGACUUGGGUUUUUGCUCUUGUUCUUGGCUUGGAAUUGGGUGCUUGCAAUCUUUACAGAUGGCUCACCUUAAAAGAAUUAGCUGGAUCUGUUCUGAGAAUUGGUUUGACUUGGCGUAAUAAGUAUUUCGCUAAGGACAUCUUCGGAUGGCCAAUACUCUUAACGAAUGUCCGCUUUCUAAUCCUGUUUCCUUUGGAGACUAUACUUUUAUGAUCUGGCCUCAAAUCAGGUAGGACUACCCGCUGAACUUAAGCAUAUCAAUAAGCGGAGGA
rnacentral:rRNA from 1 species